UCCUCCGCGUAUAGCGUCAACCCUCGCGCGCUCAGUUCGCUCCGUGCUUCACCGCGCCGAGUUCGCAUUAACGCCGCUCUAGACUUUACGCUAAUCCUUACCCGCUUUGUGCUCGGAUCCGGUGGAAACCUUGGAACUUUUGCACUCAUCAAGCAAAACUGGUGUUGAACUUUUCAUGUUCAGAAAAUUUCUCAAACACUUUUUAGUUUGUUUAUUACUUGUGCCAUAUAGUUUACUGAUUCCUUUCAUUAUUGCUUAUUUCUUGAACCCUUGGUAAAAAUUGAAUCCACCCACACGUGACCUGGUCAUCUGUGAUUUUCACUCCCUUCAAUAAUUUUGUGUUAAGCAUCCUCAGUGUUCACACUAAAAAAGUUAGCGCGAGUUAGGACUUUAAAAAAUUACACCCCUGCAUGAUUACAAGAGUGAACUAUUCGGCAACACCGGUAGUUUCAAGUUUGAACAUCUGACGACCGGAAUAGCAUCGAAAAAAUGACGUGAUUGUUUACUUUCUGGAAGAUUGCAAUUUGUGAGGAAGUUAUUUUUUUGAGAGUACCAGAAGUCAGCUAGCAAAAUGGGGACGGUGGCAUCAUUGAUCAAAUUUGGCUAUUUGAUCGUGAUAGUCACAAUGAUACUCAUCAUCUGGGGGUCGAUAGCCAGCGCCUCAAGCGGAAGCGCACUGUACGGUCAUCGGUAAGUCCACUAAAUAUAUCGUGUAAGAUAUACUAUACAGUGUGAUCCAGGGUUAA
rnacentral:lncRNA from 1 species